GCCGCUUUAGCUCAGUUGGUAGAGCAACUGUUUUGUAAACAGUAGGUCUCCAGUUCGAAUCUGGAAAGCGGCU
rnacentral:tRNA from 2 species